rnacentral:rRNA from 1 species
AACAGGAUUAGAUACCCUGGUAGUCCACGCCGUAAACGAUGUCGACUUGGAGGUUGUGCCCUUGAGGCGUGGCUUCCGGAGCUAACGCGUUAAGUCGACCGCCUGGGGAGUACGGCCGCAAGGUUAAAACUCAAAUGAAUUGACGGGGGCCCGCACAAGCGGUGGAGCAUGUGGUUUAAUUCGAUGCAACGCGAAGAACCUUACCUACUCUUGACAUCCAGAGAACUUAGCAGAGAUGCUUCGGUGCCUUCGGGAACUCUGAGACAGGUGCUGCAUGGCUGUCGUCAGCUCGUGUUGUGAAAUGUUGGGUUAAGUCCCGCAACGAGCGCAACCCUUAUCCUUUGUUGCCAGCGGUUAGGCCGGGAACUCAAAGGAGACUGCCAGUGAUAAACUGGAGGAAGGUGGGGAUGACGUCAAGUCAUCAUGGCCCUUACGAGUAGGGCUACACACGUGCUACAAUGGCAUAUACAAAGAGAAGCGACCUCGCGAGAGCAAGCGGACCCCAUAAAGUAUGUCGUAGUCCGGAUUGGAGUCUGCAACUCGACUCCAUGAAGUCGGAAUCGCUAGUAAUCGUGGAUCAGAAUGCCACGGUGAAUACGUUCCCGGGCCUUGUACACACCGCCCGUCACACCAUGGGAGUGGGUUGCAAAAGAAGUAGGUAGCUUAACCUUCGGGAGGGCGCUUACCACUUUGUGAUUCAUGACUGGGGUGAAGUCGUAACAAGGUAACC